UACGUAGGGUGCAAGCGUUGUCCGGAAUUUAUUGGGCGUAAAGAGCUCGUAGGCGGUUUGUCGCGUCGGCUGUGAAAACUCGGGGCUCAACCCCGAGCCUGCAGUCGAUACGGGCAGACUAGAGUGCUGUAGGGGAGACUGGAAUUCCUGGUGUAGCGGUGAAAUGCGCAGAUAUCAGGAGGAACACCGGUGGCGAAGGCGGGGUCUCUGGGCAGUAACUGACGUGAGGAGCGAAAGCGUGGGGAGCGAACAGG
rnacentral:rRNA from 1 species